AAUCAAAACUUUCAACAACGGAUCUCUUGGUUCUGGCAUCGAUGAAGAACGCAGCGAAAUGCGAUACGUAAUGUGAAUUGCAGAAUUCAGUGAAUCAUCGAAUCUUUGAACGCACAUUGCGCCCGCUGGUAUUCCAGCGGGCAUGCCUGUUCGAG
rnacentral:rRNA from 1 species